rnacentral:rRNA from 1 species
UACGAAGGGGGCUAGCGUUGCUCGGAAUCACUGGGCGUAAAGCGCACGUAGGCGGAUUGCUAAGUCAGGGGUGAAAUCCUGGAGCUCAACUCCAGAACUGCCUUUGAUACUGGCGAUCUCGAGUCCGGGAGAGGUGAGUGGAACUGCGAGUGUAGAGGUGAAAUUCGUAGAUAUUCGCAAGAACACCAGUGGCGAAGGCGGCUCACUGGCCCGGUACUGACGCUGAGGUGCGAAAGCGUGGGGAGCAAGCAGG